rnacentral:rRNA from 1 species
UACGUAGGUGGCAAGCGUUGUCCGGAAUUACUGGGCGUAAAGGGUGCGUAGGUGGUUUCUUAAGUCAGAGGUGAAAGGCUACGGCUCAACCGUAGUAAGCCUUUGAAACUGGGAAACUUGAGUGCAGGAGAGGAGAGUGGAAUUCCUAGUGUAGCGGUGAAAUGCGUAGAUAUUAGGAGGAACACCAGUUGCGAAGGCGGCUCUCUGGACUGUAACUGACACUGAGGCACGAAAGCGUGGGGAGCAAAACAGGAUUAGAUACCCUGGUAGUCCCUGA